rnacentral:rRNA from 1 species
AUAAAAAUCAACGUUGUUGGUGAAUCAUAAUAACUUCUCGGACCGCAUGGCCUCGUGCUGGCGGUGCUUCAUUCAAAUAUCUGCCCUAUCAACUGUCGAUGGUAGGAUAGAGGCCUACCAUGGUUGCAACGGGUAACGGGGAAUAAGGGUUCGAUUCCGGAGAGGGAGCCUGAGAAACGGCUACCACAUCCAAGGAAGGCAGCAGGCGCGCAAAUUACCCAAUCCCAACACGGGGAGGUAGUGACAAUAUGUAACAAUAUACGGCCUUAUACGUCGUAUAAUUGGAAUGAGUACAAUUUAAAUCCCUUAACGAGGAACAAUUGGAGGGCAAGUCUGGUGCCAGCAGCCGCGGUAAUUCCAGCUCCAAUAGCGUAUAUUAAAGUUGUUGCAGUUAAAAAGCUCGUAGUUGGACCUUGGACCUGGACAGGCGGUCCGCCUCACGGCGAGUACUGUCUUGCUGGGUCUUUCCUCUUGGUGAUCUGUUGUUUCGGCAG